UACGGAGGAUGCAAGCGUUAUCCGGAAUGAUUGGGCGUAAAGCGUCCGCAGGUGGCUAUGUAAGUCUGCUGUUAAAGAGUGAGGCUCAACCUCAUAAGAGCAGUGGAAACUACAUAGCUAGAGUGCGUUCGGGGCAGAGGGAAUUCCUGGUGUAGCGGUGAAAUGCGUAGAUAUCAUUUGGAACGCCAAUGGUGAAAACAGGUUGCUGGGAGUGUGCUGACGCUGAGACACGAAAGCCAGGGGAGCGAACGGG
rnacentral:rRNA from 1 species